rnacentral:rRNA from 1 species
GCUUAGGAGUAAACCAAGACAGUUACCAUAGCCCACUGUCCGCCAGAGCACUACGAGUGAAAAACUUAAAACUCAAAGGACUUGACGGCACCCCACAUCACACUAGAGGAGCCUGUCCUAUAAUCGAUGACCCACGUUUAACCUCACCUGUCCUUGUACAAAACAGCCUAUAUACCGCCGCCCACCGCCCGCCUUACAAAAGCACCAGUAGCGAGCCAACCAGCCACCACUAAAAAGUCAGGUCAAGGUGUAGCUAACGAACAGGAAGAGAUGGGCUACAUUUUCUUAACCACAGAAAACCACCACACACACCGUGAAACAGGCGUGCAAAGGAGGAUUUAGCAGUAAGCCACGCAAGAUCAAGCCUGACUGAACACUGCCCUGGAAUGCGU